GGCGGGAUAGCCAAGUGGCAAGGCAGAGGUCUGCAAAACCUUUAUCACCGGUUCAAAUCCGGUUGCCGCCU
rnacentral:tRNA from 1 species